GCAGAAUUUUGUUUGGAAUUUAAAUGUAGAAUCUGUCAAUUGGAGCAAAGGAGUUGAGAAGUUUCAGCUGAAUUCUGUAUCUGUUUUCUUUUUCCCCCAAAUUCCUUCAAUCCAAACACGGGUACGAGAUUUAUGGAAGGUAUGUUUCCGAAAGAAAAUUGAUAAAGGAAAAAUGGAGUCAGCUGAGACACCAUCAAAUGCGGUGAUGGGAAAAAAUGAAAAAAAAAAAAAAAAAAAGACCUGGAUGGAGGAACCCUAAACUCUGCCUGCGGAAGAGCCCAGUAGUUUCUGAGGAAGGCAGAGCCGAGGAGGAAGACGAAGCUUCUUCCAACUUCUCUCUUCAAACAAUGCGCUUAGCAGACCCAUCUCUUUAUUUUUGUUAAUGGGUACAUUUUCACUUGGCUCUCUACCCUUUAAAUUAUUUUCCAAUUUAAUUUUUCAAGAUUUUUGCAAAUAUUUGCAAUUUUUUCCCUUAUUUAUUAAUUUAUUUUUUCAUAUAGAUGAAAUAAUUUAGCAAUGUGAUGAAUCCUGUUUCAAGAACAGGGCAUUUUUCUUGGCAAGCCAGACCCAAGUUAUGGCUUGUUUGUGCAUGAACAUUUGUUUGGAAUUGAAGUUCUGUAAAUCUUUUAAGCCAAUAAUAUGGGCUUUUUAAGGGCUAAGUUUUUUUGAGCUAAUUAAACUGUUGUGGUUGUUGAAGCUAGGUCCAAGCCUUUGACAAUUGUGGCAAAUCUUUGCCUUUUCUAUUAAUUGGAUGUUGGGCACCUGUGUUGGGAGUGCAAUUUAGGUGAAUGAAGUGUUGGGUGGUUUACUAAAUGCUGUCAAUUUUGAAAAUUAUAUGCUUCUCUGCCCCACAAUUGUUAGAUGUUGCUUUCAAUUUCAAUUUCAAUGUCAGUUUCUUUAAUGUGAAAUGAUGUAAAGCAAGUGAAAUGUUUACGGUUGAGACAAAUUGGAGGAUGUUUGGAAAUGAGAGAAGCUGAGAGAGCGUAGGAAGUGGAGUGGGAAAAUGACACUUUUGUUUGUUUUCUUCCACAUUGUGAAUUUGAUAAAAAAGAAGUGUGUUUUGUUGUCUGAAUAGAUAAACUGUUGCAGUUGACAGAGGGCAGAGAAUUGAGGUGUUUGCCUUUUUAAUGAUGUAGAUAAGCCUCAGAUAAUGUGGGCAAGUCUUGGUCCCGUUACAGUUGUUUGAAAAAUGUAGUUAUGUUCGAUCUCGACUAGAAACCACGUUCAUUAUAUAUUUCUCUUUUCAACAAAAUAUUAUUUUUUACCAUGUUAUUGUAAUCUUUCAAAUGUUCCCUUAUUAUCAAAUUUUUGAAUGAUCUGUUGAAAUUGAUGUUUGAGGACUUUCUACAAACAUACACGCACAGACUCACUAAAAAUGUUCAUCUUUAUGUUGACUGUGCAUAAUGCUGUGCACAUUGUCUAUAUAUGGUUAAUGAUUAAUGCAUGCCUUUUACAUUAUUUUCACCCUUUUGGGGUAUUGUAGCAUGAAUAUUAUUUUGAUUACUUGCUUUAGCGCAUUAUUGCAAUUUGCACUAUUGAUUACUGACUAUAUCUGUUUAGCAUCGCUUCGCUCAAGCGCAAGUGCUUCUCUUGGUUUGCCUUGAAACACUGAAUAUAUAUAUAUUUUUUUUGAUAGGUAAGCCUUGAAACACUGAAUAUAGUCCUUGCAUAUUAAAUAUUUACUAUUUUGAUGCUACAAUGGUGCUAGUUGGCUUCUACUUACACUCAUGAAGAUGUCUAGCCUGCCUGUAUAAACUUUGAACUAGCGUGGCAACAGUUUAUUGAUGGGUAAAUUACAAAUUAAAAAAAAUGGAAGAACUGUUUAGUGGUCAUUUCUUUCAAAUCCUGAGAGUAUUGAAUUUGUUCAUUAAAGACUCUUGACAUUCAAAGUUAGCAUAUUGACAUUUUAAAACUUGGAUGGCUUGCUGCUAGCUCGAAUUGUAAUUGGUAGUAUUGCUCCAAAUAUGUUGCAGUAGGUGUUACUUCACUGUAGUGGAUAUUGGGCUUUUUCUAACAUUAUUCUUUAAUUUAUUCAAUUUUGGGUUUUCCUACGAAAAAGAAUGUUUUGAUAUUCAAAUAUUAUGGACAUGCCAUCACAAUGAAGCACAGAUGAUGAGGUGGAGCAAGGAAAUUGGAUGGUCCAAUGAAUGGUAGCUUAAUUCUCCAGUGGGAAGCUUGAUUAGGUCCUUUCUUAUCUCAUCCAUAGGAUGGUACAAUAAAUGAACCUAAUCCUCCGAGAACAGAACCUUUCAGGCCCUAGCCUGCCAUCCCCUUCAAAUGCUUAGCCAGAUCAGUGGAGACCAAACUGGAACUUGUCAACUACCUUUUCAGUCUAAUGAUGGCAUAGGAUUCAGGACUGGAAGAGGACAGCAUUCCCAAGGAUGACUUCUUUCCCCGAGGAAUCACUGAAGAUAGAUGUGGGUGAUAUGUGCACUCAUGGAAUGGAACCCUCACUUUUUGAUUUUCAUAUCCACUAUGGAGUGAUGAGAGCAAUUUCAAAGAGUUUGAGGAUAUCACAAGAUGAAAUCAUCAAGGUGAGGAUGGAAGUGAAUAUGAAUCAGAAAUUCAGCAACGAAAUAAAUGAAUCAAAGAAGAAAUUGAGGAGAUACAAACAAGAGAGCUAUGCUUAUAGUAAGCAUGCAAUGAAGGCUGUCCAACAGGCAAAGAGCUAAUGUAAUGGGUGUACCAUUUGACCCAGGCUUUUUUGCUUGGACUUCACCAAACCAGUGGGCACACUCUUCCUCAUACAAUCAUGUGCCGACAUCCUAUGAGGCAUUUGAUUUGCAAUAUUACAUUGGGGUUUAAUCUAUUAAUUGCAGGGACAUUGGGCAAAGAGGGAAAAGUCGCCAAGUAUGAGUACUGACUUGAGCCCCAAUGAGCCUACAUUUACUGUGGCAUGGAGAGCCAUACACUAAGGUGGUGGUGGCAGCAGCAGUGGUGGCGGCGGUGCUGAUGGUGUUGCAGGUGGCCUACUGAAGCUACGUGAAGAUGUACUAGCAUGUGGGUAUGAAGAUGUGCAGGUAAUGUGGAAAAUGUUACAUGGAUCACCAUCAGAGACGACAACGUUUGAAGAGGUUAGCAGUCAUCCUCCUGAGGUUAUCAGUCACCCUGCUAAAUGCAGUAAGCGACGCUCUUGGAGGGCCUUCUUUUGAUCCAUCCAUAGAACAUGUUCCCCAUCAUCUGCCCACUUAGAAUAAAAAUUUUCCUUAAUGAGGACGCAUGUAUAUAAAUGGUAAACGACAUGGUGAUGGGGAAAUGGAGAAACAAGGGUUUCUACUUGUUAUGUAGCUACUUUUUCUCGCAAUGAUACUACCCAGGACUCUCUUUCGCACUAAUAUGAUACAACUAUCAGCAUCUUUGUUAUAUAUCAGGCAUGGAUGAGAAAAAAGAACAGGUAAUCCUCCAUUCCCUUUGUAUUUUA